UACGAAGGGGGCUAGCGUUGCUCGGAAUCACUGGGCGUAAAGGGCGCGUAGGCGGCGUGACAAGUCACUUGUGAAAUCUCCGGGCUUAACUCGGAACGGUCAAGUGAUACUGUCGUGCUAGAGUACAGAAGGGGCAACUGGAAUUCUCGGUGUAGCGGUGAAAUGCGUAGAGAUCGUGAGGAAGACCCGUGGGCGAAGGCGGAUCUCUGGACGGCUAACUGGACGCUGGAGGCGCGGAAGGCCAGGGGAGCAAACGGG
rnacentral:rRNA from 1 species